GCCUUACACAUGCAAGUCGAGCGAGAAUCGUUUUGCUGAAGGCUUCGGUCCGAUGCAGAAUGAGGAAAGCGGCGAACGGGUGAGUAACGCGUGGGCAACCUGGCCUUAAGAAAAGGAUAGCCCCCGGAAACGGGGAGUAAUACUUUAUGAGAAUAGAAAAGGGCAUCCUGUUUCUAUUCAAAGCGCAAGCGCUUAAGGAUGGGCCCGCGUAUCAUUAGCUAGUUGGUGAGAUAACAGCCCACCAAGGCAACGAUGAUUAGCCGGUCUGAGAGGGCGAACGGCCACAUUGGAACUGAGAGACGGUCCAAACUCCUACGGGAGGCAGCAGUGGGGAAUAUUGCGCAAUGGAGAAGAACUCUGACGCAGCAAUACCGCGUGAGCGAAGAAGGUCUUCGGAUCGUAAAGCUCUGUUAUCAGGGAAGAAGAAAAUGACGGUACCUGAUGAGCAAGUCCCGGCUAACUACGUGCCAGCAGCCGCGGUAACAC
rnacentral:rRNA from 1 species